rnacentral:rRNA from 1 species
UACGUAGGUGGCGAGCGUUGUCCGGAUUUAUUGGGCGUAAAGCGCCCGCAGGCGGCCUGACAAGUUUCAGGUGAAAUCUCCCGGCUUAACUGGGAGGGGUCCUGGGAAACUGUCAGGCUUGAGGCAGGGAGAGGGAUGUGGAAUUCCCGGUGUAGUGGUGAAAUGCGUAGAUAUCGGGAGGAACACCAGUGGCGAAGGCGGCAUCCUGGCCCUGUCCUGACGCUCAGGGGCGAAAGCGUAGGGAGCAAACCGG